rnacentral:rRNA from 1 species
AGCGGCGGACGGGUGAGUAACGCGUGGGUAACCUGCCCUAUACACAUGGAUAACAUACUGAAAAGUUUACUAAUACAUGAUAAUAUAUGUUUGCGGCAUCGCAGAUAUAUCAAAGUGUUAGCGGUAUAGGAUGGACCCGCGUCUGACUAGCUAGUUGGUGAGAUAACUGCCCACCAAGGCGACGAUCAGUAGCCGACCUGAGAGGGUGAUCGGCCACAUUGGAACUGAGACACGGUCCAAACUCCUACGGGAGGCAGCAGUGGGGAAUAUUGCACAAUGGGCGAAAGCCUGAUGCAGCAACGCCGCGUGAACGAUGAAGGUCUUCGGAUCGUAAAGUUCUGUUGCAGGGGAAGAUAAUGACGGUACCCUGUGAGGAAGCCCCGGCUAACUACGUGCCAGCAGCCGCGGUAAUACGUAGGGGGCUAGCGUUAUCCGGAUUUACUGGGCGUAAAGGGUGCGUAGGUGGUCCUUCAAGUCGGUGGUUAAAGGCUACGGCUCAACCGUAGUAAGCCGCCGAAACUGGAGGACUUGAGUGCAGGAGAGGAAAGUGGAAUUCCCAGUGUAGCGGUGAAAUGCGUAGAUAUUGGGAGGAACACCAGUAGCGAAGGCGGCUUUCUGGACUGCA